rnacentral:rRNA from 1 species
AUUGAACGCUGGCGGAAUGCUUUACACAUGCAAGUCGAACGGCAGCACGGGGCAACCUGGUGGCGAGUGGCGAACGGGUGAGUAAUACAUCGGAACGUGCCCAAUCGUGGGGGAUAACGUAGCGAAAGUUACGCUAAUACCGCAUACGAUCUACGGAUGAAAGCGGGGGAUCGCAAGACCUCGCGCGAGUGGAGCGGCCGAUGUCAGAUUAGGUAGUUGGUGGGGUAAAGGCUCACCAAGCCAACGAUCUGUAGCUGGUCUGAGAGGACGACCAGCCACACUGGAACUGAGACACGGUCCAGACUCCUACGGGAGGCAGCAGUGGGGAAUUUUGGACAAUGGGCGCAAGCCUGAUCCAGCCAUUCCGCGUGCAGGAUGAAGGCCUUCGGUUGUAAACUGCUUUGUUACGGACGAAACGGACGAGCUCUAAUACAGUUUGCUUAAUGACGGUACCGUAAGAAUAAG